rnacentral:rRNA from 1 species
UACGGAGGGUGCAAGCGUUAUCCGGAUUCACUGGGUCUAAAGGGAGCGUAGGUGGGUUGGUAAGUCAGUGGUGAAGUCCCCGAGCUUAACUUGGGAACUGCCAUUGAUACUAUCAGUCUUGAAUAUUGUGGAGGUCAGCGGAAUAUGUCAUGUAGCGGUGAAAUGCUUAGAGAUGACAUAGAACACCAAUUGCGAAGGCAGCUGGCUACGCAUAUAUUGACACUGAGGCUCGAAAGCGUGGGGAUCAAACAGG